GAUGAAGAACGCAGCGAAAUGCGAUAAGUAAUGAGAAUUGCAGAAUUCAGUGAAUCAUCGAAUCUUUGAACGCACAUUGCGCCCGCCAGCACUCUGGCGGGCAUGCCUGUUCGAGCGUCAUUCCAACCAUCAAGCCCCCAGGGGCUUGUGCUGGGGCCCUGCGGCUGCCCGCAGGCCCUGAAAACCAGUGGCGGGCUCGCUAGUCACACCGAGCGCAGUAGCACAUCUCGCUCAGGGCGUGCGGCGGGCUCCUGCCGUGAAACCCCCCACUGUAACCCCAAAGGUUGACCUCGGAUCAGGUAGGAAUACCCGCUGAACUUAAGCAUAUCAAUAAGCGGAGGA
rnacentral:misc_RNA from 1 species